AUUUUUAUUAAUAUUAAUUCAUGUGGCAAUGUGUCGUGGCUGAUGAAGGAACUAGACAACACGUAGUGGUCUUAAAAUAUUGGUUGGCCAACACUGAUGUAUGGAAGAGCUACAGAAGAAGGGGGAUGCAAAGAUAGUAAGGAGUAAGGACAAUCUCAUUCUGAACUUAUGUUUUGAUUUUCUUUCUUUGAAUUAUUGUGUCGUGUUUUUGCUGUAGAUUUAUUGUGCAAAGAUAGUAAGGACAAUCUUAUUCUUAAUUUAUUUUUUUUUCUUUGAAUUAUUUUGUGCCUUUUGUUAUUGAUUCAUGCGGAGGUAUCAAUUGACUCCAAGAGUAACUCAAUAGAAUUACUCUCAAUCUUCACCCCCAGUUUGAUUUAAAUCUUACGGUUUUAAAGUUUGUUUUGAUUACUUAUCAUGUGUCUGUGUUAUAGGUCUCAUUUCUCCUAAAUGCAUCGUCAAAGAAUUUAUCCAGAAACUCAAAUGAAUUUAUCCAGAAACACCAUAUUUGUCCUCAAAUCGUCAUAGUCUUCAAAUUGCAACGCUGUACUCCUCUUCACGCAUCACAAAAUCUUCGUUCAAUCUCACAUCGUCCCCUUCUCUCAUGGUUGAUCGCCUUGCUCUGUCUUCAAUCUCAGAUUGUUGCAAUCCCAAAGUGUCUUUGCCCUCACUCUGCCACACGAUACAAACAAAAUA
rnacentral:lncRNA from 1 species